UUGAACGCUGGCGGCAGGCCUAACACAUGCAAGUCGAGCGGAUGAAGGGAGCUUGCUCCUGGAUUCAGCGGCGGACGGGUGAGUAAUGCCUAGGAAUCUGCCUGGUAGUGGGGGAUAACGUCCGGAAACGGGCGCUAAUACCGCAUACGUCCUGAGGGAGAAAGUGGGGGAUCUUCGGACCUCACGCUAUCAGAUGAGCCUAGGUCGGAUUAGCUAGUUGGUGGGGUAAAGGCCUACCAAGGCGACGAUCCGUAACUGGGCUGAGAGGAUGAUCAGUCACACUGGAACUGAGACACGGUCCAGACUCCUACGGGAGGCAGCAGUGGGGAAUAUUGGACAAUGGGCGAAAGCCUGAUCCAGCCAUGCCGCGUGUGUGAAGAAGGUCUUCGGAUUGUAAAGCACUUUAAGUUGGGAGGAAGGGCAGUAAGUUAAUACCUUGCUGUUUUGACGUUACCAACAGAAUAAGCACCGGCUAACUUCGUG
rnacentral:rRNA from 1 species